rnacentral:rRNA from 1 species
GAUGAACGCUGGCGGUGUGCCUUAAGCAUGCAAGUCGAACGGGGUUGCCUUCGGGUAACUUAGUGGCAAACGGGUGAGUACAACACAGAAACGUACCUUAAAGUGGGGAAUAACUCAUCGAAAGAUGGGCUAAUACCGCAUGUGCUGGCAACAGUAAAGGGCUUAACUGCUUGCUUUAAGAGCGGUCUGUGCGCUAUCAGCUAGUUGGUGAGGUAAUGGCUUACCAAGGCUACGACGGCUAGGGGGCGUGAGAGCGCGACCCCCCACAAGGACACUGAGACACGGGUCCUACAUCUACGGAUGGCAGCAACUGGGAAUCUUCCGCAAUGGACGAAAGUCUGACGGAGCGACACCGCGUGAAGGAUUAAGGCCUUCGGGUUGUAAACUUCUUUUAUAUGGGAAGAAGAUCUAGUUUACUAGAUUUGACGGUACCAUACGAAUAAGCACCUGCUAACUACG